AAUUAAUGAGAAGCCCUACAAAUAACGCUAUCGUAACUGUAGAUAAAACAAAUAAAUAAUUAGAUACCAAAAGAACAAAUCUACUAUCAAAACAUCCUCUAUUUUGCAUAUAUUACUCCACAUACAUUCCAGGGGACUGUUCCAAAAAUAAUGCCUCCUAUUUCAUUAUGUCGGCCCACAACAUUAGAUGGGAACGUUGGUGGUGUGGUAGGAGAAGCUGAACCUUCCCACCAAUACUCCAAUACAUUUUGUUGCUGUGAGACAAAUGGCAGCAGAGGGGCAGUCCAACAGAAUGGCAUCCAACAUGGAAGUGCGUGGGAAGCAAAGGUGUGCCACUGAAUUCCUCUGUGUGGAAAAAAAGGCACUUGUUGACAGCCACUGAAGCUUGCUGAACAUUUAUGGAGACCAAACGUGGGAUGUGAAUGCACAGGGGAGGUUGGUGGUGUGUUUCAGCAGUGGCAACUCAGGGUCACCACUGCUAGUGCAGAUAGAUUCAAGUGCAGCAUGCAUGCUCUUGUUCACCACUGGCAAAAAUGCACCGAUACCAGCAGUGACCAUUGACAAGCAGUAUUCUGUAGCUGAGAAUUCUCUCUCAAAUAGCAUCCUUGUGCUGGUUCUAUCUGUUGUAUUUUCCGUGGAAAUACAUACGAGGCAUUACUUUCAGAGCAACCAACACAAAUACAAAGUCAGCUACCGGUCACUAGGUUAGGUCGUGACUUCAUUUGCUGAUAGGAGAAGCCUUCUAAUGUCAGGAAAGGUCUUGGGGUCCAGGGGUCAUUGUCACUUAUUUGGCUCAAAAAUCUUGUAACAGAGGAUUUCUUUCCUCACAUGCUCAGAAGGCAUAUCCAGCAGGCAAUGGGGUUUUUUCUGCUUUAGAACCAGACUGAGAACACAAACAAGGAAGUUACAAGAGUUUACAUGUUGCACCUGGUCUUGGGCCUCCUCAGUGGAAAAUGUAAUUCUUGUCACAGAAAAACACUCAGUGUUACAUGGAAAAGUUACAGCUGCAAGACUUUCCUACAGCAACUCUGUUCUCCCUUCUUUCUGUGGUGCCAACAGGGCAAAAUAACAAGUAGAUUACGUUACACUAGCUUUGUCUCAAGCUCUUGGUGUUAAUGCACUCAGAAGUUAAACAGAGAGAAACAGAAAAGUAACGCACUAAAGGCUGACUACCCUAGAAAGGCCUCAGUCAAAGCAGGACUGUGCGAUAGAUACAUUUUCAGAAGCGAGUAAUCAGUGCUAAUACAAUAAAGAUGAGAUCACAAAAGAACCAUGUAUUUCAAGAAAAAUAAGCUCAUGAACUCUUUCUAUGGUGAGAUUUCAGAUGAGGCUGCAAAACUGUGUGAUAUUACCCUCUCUACAAGUUGGGUAAGGCACUGUGGAAUCCAUUGCUGUAAAUAAACCUCAUUGAGGGAAAUCCUCGUGUAACCACAAAAAGAUCUUUGCCUCUCCUCACCACGUGAAUUUAUUUAAGUUUCAUCAAAUCAGUAAGAGCAUAUGUCCAAUUCCUAUUAAUUCAAAAUCAGAGAAAAGAAUAGCAGCAUUCAGGAUUACCCAGAAUAAGUGAAAUCAAUUUUCUCAAAGUCCAAACUCUGUUUCCUUUAACACUAGCCAGUAGGCCAUCUCCCACCAGCUGUUCCAUCUUGAUUUCUCUUCCUGUCCUGUGCAGAAGAGGGAGAGCCCAGGUAGUUGAAUAGCCACGAGACAAAUCUCAUCCAGCAAACCUGGCUUCACCUUCACAUUGUUCCUCAACCGUAGGUUGAUUUUUCCUAG
rnacentral:lncRNA from 7 species